rnacentral:rRNA from 1 species
GACGAACGCUGGCGGCGUGCUUAACACAUGCAAGUCGAACGGGCCCGCCCCUGUUUUUGGGGGUGGGUUGAGUGGCGAACGGGUGAGUAUCACGUGAGUAACCUGCCCCCUGCUCCUGGUUAACUGCUUGAAAGGGCGGCUAAUACGGGGUGUGCCGGCUGGUCCGCAUGGGCCUGGUCGGGAUAGUUUCAUCUUCGGGUGUUUCGGUGGGGGAUGGGCUCGCGGCCUAUCAGCUUGUUGGUGGGGUGAUGGCCCACCAAGGCGGUGACGGGUAGCCGGCCUGAGAGGGUGGGCGGCCACACUGGGACUGAGACACGGCCCAGACUCCUGCGGGAGGCAGCAGUGGGGGGUAUUGCACAAUGGGCGGAAGCCUGAUGCAGCGACGUCGCGUGAGGGAUGGAGGCCUUCGGGUUGUGAACCUCUUUCUCCGGUGGUGAAGGCCCUGUCCGUUGCGGCGGGGUUGACGGUAGCCGGGUAUGAAGCGCCGGCUAACUACGUG